rnacentral:rRNA from 1 species
GACGAACCGAGCGAACGUUGUUCGGAAUCACUGGCUUAAAGGGCGCGUAGGCGGGUGCUCAAGUCCGGGGUGAAAUCCUCCAGCUCAACUGGAGAACUGCCUCGGAUACUGGGUGCCUCGAGGGUGGUAGGGGUAUGCGGAACUAUCGGUGGAGCGGUGAAAUGCGUUGAUAUCGAUAGGAACUCCGGUGGCGAAGGCGGCAUACUGGACCACAUCUGACGCUGGAGGCGCG